UACGAACGGUGCAAACGUUAUUCGGAAUCACUGGGCUUAAAGGGUGCGUAGGCGGCUUGUUAAGUAGGGUGUGAAAUCCCCCGGCUCAACCGAGGAAUUGCGCUCUAAACUGCAGUGCUCGAGGAACCUAGAGGUGAGCAGAACAGAUGGUGGAGCGGUGAAAUGCGUUGAUAUCAUCUGGAAUACCGGAGGCGAAGGCGGCUCACUGGGGGUUUUCUGACGCUGAGGAACGAAAGCCAGGGUAGCGAACGGG
rnacentral:rRNA from 1 species